rnacentral:lncRNA from 1 species
UCAGGGCGGGUGCCGGCUAGGAUGCCGGGUGCGGGGUGCGGGCUUCAGGGUGCGGGCCUCAGGGUGCAGUGUACGGGGUUCAGCCCUGAUCCCUGCCUGACAAAUCCCUACUCAUUUGGAUCACGCGCCCUUCUAAGGCCGGAAGUGGAUCGUGGGCAUGAGGCAGACAAGCUGCAUGGGCUCUGCCUCCACCAAGCAGGAGUUCUUCCGGUCCCAGCCAGCACCUUCCAGUACCCUCUUUUGCUCAGAGCCCCAAGCACAACUGGCUCCCACCUUGGGGGGAUACACUAGGUUGCUGUCAUCCACAGUGG